rnacentral:rRNA from 1 species
CCUACGGGUGGCAGCAGUGAGGAAUAUUGGUCAAUGGCCGAGAGGCUGAACCAGCCAAGUCGCGUGAGGGAAGACGGCCCUACGGGUUGUAAACCUCUUUUGUCGGGGAGCAAAGCGAACCACGUGUGGUUCAUUGAGAGUACCCGAAGAAAAAGCAUCGGCUAACUCCGUGCCAGCAGCCGCGGUAAUACGGAGGAUGCGAACGUUAUCCGGAUUUAUUGGGGUAAAAGGGUGCGCAGGCGGAGGUGCAAGUCAGCGGUCACAGUGCGGGGCUCAACCCCGUACUGCCGUUGACACUGCAUCCCUUGAGUGCGCGAGAAGUAUGCGGAAUGCGUGGUGUAGCGGUGAAAUGCAUAGAUAUCACGCAGAACUCCGAUUGCGAAGGCAGCAUACCGGCGCGCAACUGACGCUCAUGCACGAAAGCGUGGGUAUCGAACAGGAUUAGAUACCCGAGUAGUC